UAUAAGUUUUUAUAGCUUUAUUUUAUUAUUUAAUUAUAUUUUAUAUGUAAAUUUUUGUGUAAAGAAAGAUAGAUUUUAAAUAAAUUUAGUAAAAAUUAGAUUGCAGUAGAUGUAUUUAUUAAUUUAAGAAAUUAAGAAUUAGUAAAUAUUUAAAGUAUAAACAAAAUUUGUGCCAGCAGUUGCGGUUAUACGAAUUAUAUAAUAGUAAGAUUUUAGUAAUAGUUAAUAAAUAUAUAAUUAAAUAAAUAUGAAAAUUUAUUAGGUGAAAUUUUAAGUUUUUAUAGGUUUAUAGAUGGUUUAUGAUUCUAGGAAAAUUUUCAAUAAACUAGGAUUAGAUACCCUAUUAUUAAAAAGUAAAUUUCAAUUAUUAAAUUAGUAUUAGUUAUAGUCUUAAAAAUUAAAGAAAUUGGCGGUAUUUUAUUUUUUCAGAGGAACCUGUUCUGUAAUUGAUAGUCCACGUUGUUAUUUACUUAUUUUAUUAGUUUGUAUAUCGUCGUGAAUUGAAUAUUUUAUAAAAAAAUAAAUGUUCAAAAUUUAAAUAUAAAAAAAAUCAGAUCAAGGUAUAGCUUAUAAAUAAGUAGAGAUGGGUUACAAUAAAUUUUAUUUAUAUGGAAAAUUUUAUGUAAAAUAAAUUUGAAGGUGGAUUUGGAAGUAAUUUUUUAUAAUUAUAAAAAAUGAUAUUAUUUUAAAAUAUGUACAUAUUGCCCGUCGCUUUCAUUUAAGGUGGAAUAAGUCGUAACAUAGUAGAUGUACUGGAAAGUGUCUCUAGAAUAAA
rnacentral:ncRNA from 1 species